rnacentral:rRNA from 1 species
UACGUAGGGUGUGAGCGUUAAUCGGAAUUACUGGGCGUAAGGCGUGCGCAGGCGGUUUUGUAAGCCAGAUGUGAAAUCCCCGGGCUUAACCUGGAAUGGCAUUUGGGACUGCAAGGCUGGAGUGCGGCAGAGGAGACUGGAAUUCCUGGUGUAGCAGUGAAAUGCGUAGAUAUCAGGAGGAAUACCGAUGGCGAAGGCAGGUCUCUGGGCUGACACUGACGCUCAUGCACGAAAGCGUGGGAGCGA